rnacentral:lncRNA from 1 species
AAAUCUGUCACAUUCAGAAUCAGGGUCACCCCCCUAGCAAUGGGGGUUUUAGCUACUCAUAAUCGAAAUAAAAACAAAGAUUAACAUUGUUGUCAUUACAGAAUUUCGUGAGGAAUCAAUCUUCAAUCGUCGGAAAACUCUUGAACAUAUGAAUCCUUUGAUAAACGUAGAGUCUCCAGCUCUCAAAACGUGUCUCUUUUC